rnacentral:lncRNA from 1 species
UGCCGUCUUUAAGUUGCCCAAAGUUCGCAUAUAUAAUGAGUAAAUAUUAGAAAACCUGCAAUUUUUCGGGCUUCAUAAUGAUGGAGUUUAUAUCUAUAUAUACACCAUUUAGUGCAAGCUUUUGCCGCGGAGUCGCUGUUGUAGUCGGUGUAUAUGUUUUUAUACAGAUUUAUGUUGUAAGCAUUUUACGAAGCCCUAAAAAAGGCAACAUGGCAAUAUCAUAUGUUUUAAUUUUUCAUCUUAAAGAUAACAAAUCUGUGAUUAUACAUUGUGUUUGAUUGAAUACGUUGUGCGGGCCUUGUGCGUCCCCAAUGAAGCGUUCGCAAUGAAUAGUAGCAAUGGUAAAUGCCAGUCAUGAAGAUGAAAUCAGGACAAAUGGAAGUGAGAAAAGAAAAGUAACGCUGGGCGUGAACGGUGGUCUAAGGCAGAAAAGUCACUAGUAUGUCAUUAUUUUAAGGAUCAUAUUCAGAAGAAAAUUGCGCCCAAAACAGGCGAGUGUGCAGAAUGCAUCCCUAAAUAUAAGGACUUUCCAAAGAAUAAAGACUGGCUGAAAAUAAAGACUUUAGUGUAUAAUACUUUUAGAGCAAAAUGACCCAUUUUACCAUUUUUCAUUUUAAAUUAGAAAUGUUUAUUAGUUUAACCGAAUGCAUUUUUCUUUAAUAGUUAUAUAAUAAGAUAUUUUACUUUUUCUUUA